GCAGACAGCCCGGCGAACCGCGCAAUGCGCUUCUUCUGCCUGCAGCAGAGAAAAGGAAAGAAAACUCCGCAGGGGCUCCGUUGGCUUCUCCACGAGUGACAACCAUGUUUUCCCAGAUAGAAGACCGGAGCCCUGCUCCUUUGCGAUCCGCCGAGGGCUGCAGAGAGCAUCCUCAUCCAUUUGGGCACCCCUGCCCAGGAAGAGCCCGGCCAUCCCUUUCCGGACUGGAUCCUUAAGAGGUGAAUUUUCUUCCGUGGAUUCCGAUUUGCUCCGUCUGACCAGCCUAGGCAAUCCAGCAUCGCGUGGUACCAGUGCCGCUGGGCACACUGGCUUCACGCCGGCUCCGCCUCACCAGCAAGCGCAUUCCCAGGUGGUCAGGCUCAGGAUGGACCAUGAGCUUUCAAAAAGGAAAAAGCUUUUUCUGGAGGAAAUUCGCAUUUGAAUUGAUGGACUGAAUAAAGCAGAUUGCAGUCCCCAGUGUGGAUGGGCUUGAUCCAGUCUUCUAAGGACCCAAAUAAAAUAGGUGGAGGAAGCUUGAAUUUUCUGCCUGACUGUGGCGCUGGGACACCCAUCUUCUCCUGCCCUUGAACUGGGACUGACACCAUCAGUGCUCCUGGUUCUCAGACCUUCGGACAGCAGACUUGGGGCCUUCUCGGCCUCCAUUAUUGUCUGCUUUUAGAUAUUUAACGGGAGAGGAAAAGAGAAAAUAUGAUUAAAGCCUUUGAAAGUCCAUUUCCAAGAAAUAAAAACUGCAGUAGGAAUUCUACAAAACUGAAAAAUCUUCAGGACUGGAAGAUCUAUCCAGAAAAGCCCAGUGGAUUAUAAUAACUUAUUAAAAUAUUUGUUUGGCAAGCCACUGACUAAUACCACUUUAAGAUAUGAAUGCAUUACCAAAAAAAAUUGGAGUGAGUAGUUUUUACAAGUCUUUGAAAUAAUCAUAUUUGUAUUUUGACACUAAUUUGAAACAAGGAGCUGGCUUGAAAUAUUAAACCUAAGUGAUCAGAGACAAUGAGCUAUCAGACUGCAUGAUCAACGUAGAGCAAUCUCCACAUAAGAUGAGAUGCAUGCAGCCUCUACAAAUUUGGCUUGGGGAGGAGUUUGCUUCGCUCGCUUGAAUAAGCCACUGUCUAUGGCUCACAAGGGUCCCGUUCUUAAUGAGGUGGUGCGUAGCAGCAACACACUGUGAAUCCAAAUAGCAGAUGGCAACACUGUUGAGUAGGCUGGCAGUCUGAUGUCUAGCCACCAACUGGCAGCAAUCAUUAUUAAACUGAUUCAUGUGCCCAGGGAAAAUCUUCAUAAGAGUCUUAGCAAAUGUGAGCAGCAAGAAGCAAAUGAUCUGCUAUUCCUAUCUGCUAUGAGUACUACCUAUAUUUCUUAAAAUAUUUUUCCCCAGUGCAACCUACACAAAGAAAUGGCAUGUUAUGUGCACUGGAGGCCCUAUUCCUUUCCUAUAGAUGCAUGUAUACCUUUAAACAUGAUAGCUGUGAUUUCUCUAUUUGGUGAAUAGCUUUCCCUUGACGGAAAUAGCUUCAUAGCAUUCACCCUAUGGAUUUGUUGCACAUAUUCAAUGAUAGGCAAGCACUCAUAGAUUCUGUAAAUAAAUAACUGAACAUAUUCUAUCUCACAUAAUGAAGCAAUGGCCUACAUUGCUCAUAGUCCAUCUACAUGAGACAGGUAACUCAUCCUUGGGUGAAAAGUUUGUUACACUCACACUUGGUUAGGAAAGCAGACUAAGAAAGGCUCUAGCUUUAGAAAACUUAUGUAAGGAUCUUUCUACAAGAAAAUCUUAAAGGUAUACAUUUAAAAGUUAAGUCUUUAUGCUGGGUGCAGUAGCUCAUGCCUGCAAUCUCAGCACUUUGGGAGGCCAAGGCGGGCAGAUCACGAAGUUAGGAGCUUGAGACUAGCCCGGCCAACAUGGUGAAACCCCAUCUCUACUAAAAAUACAAAAAAUUAGCUGGGCGUGGUGGCACAUGCCUGUAAUCUCAGCUACUCAGGAGGCUGAGGCAGGAGAAUUGCUUGAACCCAGGAGGCAGAGGUUGCAGUGAGCAGAGAUCACACCAUUGCACUCCAGCCUGGGCAACAGAGCAAGACUCCGUCUCAAAAUAAAUAAAUAAAUAAAAGUUCUGUCUUUACAAACCAAAAUGCUAAACAAAUAGCAUUUUUUUCCAAAUGUUGAAAGUAUGUGUUGUUUGUAACCAAUAAAGCCAAUUUCCACAACUUUAUAUGUUAAUAAACAAGCCUUAAGGUAAGGCUUUUAUUGAAAAACAAAACCCUGCUUUAUUCACUUACAAAAUACUUACAGUUAAAUUAAAAAACAAAAAUUCUAGCCAUUCUCUAAAUCUUCAUUACAUUUUUAAAAAUUAAGAUACUAGAAUUCUUUUACAUGCUCAUAAUAACAAGGGGAAAGCUGCAGUUAAAUGUCAGAUAUUCCACAUGUUAAAAAAUAUAUUUUAUUUUAUGUUCCAUUUAUGGUAAUUUUUUAAUAGAAGCAAAAUUUAAAAUCUUUUUUAAGAAGUAAUAAAAUCACUCUGAAUGGAUUAUUUUUGGCUUUAUCAAUUUGAUAAAUCAAUCCAGGCUGAAAUAUCAUUUAUAACUUCUAGAGUGAGUGCCCCUGCUCUUGUCUCAAAUAUGAGAGUGAUUAUCAACCAAAGUUAGAUACCCCAGCCCUGGCAGUCAAACUCAAAAGCAAGCUUGCACGCCGUCUCUCAAGUCUCUCAGCAUUCUCCCCAAACAAGAAAUCAAGUGCCAGAGCUUAUACACUUAAUAUUUGAGACCAAAAAAGAAAACUCCAAACAAGAGAUUUACUCAAAUGUGCUUGUCUCCCAGUUACUUUAUAAGAAGUAAAUCCAUGUCAGAAGAAAAGAUGCCCAUGUCUUGUUCUGCAUGGGAAAUAAGUGCCAUGUACUAAAAGAAGCCUAAAAAUGGUGGCACAAGUUUCUUUAAAUGGCUAAAAUCCCUCAAAAUACUGAACAUCUCAUCAGACCAUCAAGAGUUAUGUUUUUUGUCACACAUUAUGAAAUUCUAGAUAUCCCAGCCUGGGCAAUAUGGAAAACCUCGUCUCUACAAAAAAUGAAAAACUAUCCAGGUGUGGUGCCCCAUGCCUAUAGUCCCAGCUACUUGGUAGGCUGAGGUGGGAGGAUUGUUUGAGCCUGAGAGGCAGAGGUUGCAGUAAGUCAUGAUUGUGCCACUGCACUUCAGCCUGGAUGAUAGAGCAAGACUGUGUCUCAAAAAAAAAUAAUUCUAGAUAUUUGAAAAAUAAGAUAGGGUGAUGAAUGUUUAUCACCGGAUAUUAGGGUGUACUCAAUGGUAAGUAUAAAGGGAAACCAGCAAUGGGUAGGCUAGUUCAAAAGAUGUAUUAUAUUUCCAGAUAUUCUGAUAACAGUGAUAAAGACUUGAUGGUGAAUAGGUAUGUCGAUAGCAGUACUGCAGAUGCUCAGUUUGAGUAAGUCACCCACACUACCAAAAGAUGAAUAUUCUUUUUGAGAACAGAAGAAUUCUAGUAAUCAUGAGCUAAGGAUGCUGGAAAUUCAUUCCUGAAAAUGUAUAUGUACCAAGUAGUUGUUUUCUGUUCUCCCAUUCUUCAUUAAACCUGUCCUUAUCAAGAACACCAAUGAUGUCCAUCUUGUCCAAAUCAACGUUUCAUACUCAGACUCUCACUUACUCUAAUUCUCAGAGGCAUUUAAUGCAGUUGAUCACUACCAUCAUCUGGAAACACUUCCUUGGCUUGGUUUCUAGAACAACAGUAUAUGACUAGUUUUCCUUUUUCCUUAUUGGAAGUUCAUUGUCCAUCUCCUGUUUAGCUCCUUAUCAAAAUCCUGACCUUUGACAUUUGACUGUUGUUCUUAAAUACACUGUGUAGAUUCUGAUAUCUGAAUGAACUAGACACUCUGCUA
rnacentral:lncRNA from 1 species